GGUCGUGUGGCGCAAUGGUAGCGCGUUACUUUCCGGUUGCUGGUAAAGGUUCUGGGUUCGAGUCCCAGCAUGAUCG